AGUGAACGCUGGCGGCAGGCCUAACACAUGCAAGUCGAACGGCAGCACAAUAAGAGCUUGCUCUUACGGGUGGCGAGUGGCGGACGGGUGAGGAAUACAUCGGAAUCUACUUUUUCGUGGGGGAUAACGUAGGGACACUUACGCUAAUACCGCAUACGACCUACGGGUGAAAGCAGGGGAUCUUCGCACCUUGCGCGAUUGAAUGAGCUGAUGUCGGAUUAGCUAGUUGGCGGGGUAAAGGCCCACCAAGGCGACGAUCCGUAGCUGGUCUGAGAGGAUGAUCAGCCACACUGGAACUGAGACACGGUCCAGACUCCUACGGGAGGCAGCAGUGGGGAAUAUUGGACAAUGGGCGCAAGCCUGAUCCAGCCAUACCGCGUGGGUGAAGAAGGUCUUCGGGUUGUAAAGCCCUUUUGUUGGGGAAGAAAAGCAGCAGGUUAAUACCCCGCUGUUCUGACGGUACCCAAAGAAUAAGCACCGGCUAACUUCGUG
rnacentral:rRNA from 1 species